GGCCACCCUGGAGGUAUCAAGCAGAGAGGUGCGGACCAGCAUGGACUCCCCAGACUCUAUAUCCUCCUUGCCAGGGAAGAGCUCCCUCUGCUCCUGAACGGAGCCCUGGCCUGGAGUGAUGGCAGAGCAGGCAGCGCUCCCCUGCUCCCCUGGAGUGCAGGGCUGGGAACAUCUCCGAGUCACCCCUGUGAGGGACCAAGCCUCAGGGCCUGUUGUGGGGAGUGGUGUGGAAACAGGGCAUUUGUUGCCCUGGAAGGAAACCAAAGGGCUCCCUGACAAAGGACUGCCUCACACCUGUGGCAAUAAUGGCCUGCAAAUGCAGAGGAAAGAGCCCCACAGGCCUAUACCAGGAGGAGCUGGG